GGGAUUGUAACUCAGCGGUAGAGUGCUCACCUAGCAUGUGCGAGGCCCUGGGUUUGAUCCUCAGCACCA
rnacentral:tRNA from 1 species